rnacentral:rRNA from 1 species
CCUACGGGAGGCAGCAGUGAGGAAUAUUGGUCAAUGGGCGCAAGUCUGAACCAGCCAAGCAGCGUGAAGGAAGACGGCCCUAUGGGUUGUAAACUUCUUUUAUAAAAGAAUAAAGUGAGGUACGCGUACCUGUCUGUAAGUACCGUAUGAAUAAGGAUCGGCUAACUCCGUGCCAGCAGCCGCGGUAAUACGGAGGAUCCGAGCGUUAUCCGGAUUUAUUGGGUUUAAAGGGUGCGUAGGUGGGCUGAUAAGUCAGAGGUGAAAGUUCGCGGCUCAACUUUGGAAUUGCCUUUGAUACUGUCAGGCUUGAGUGUAGUUGAGGUAGGCGGAAUGUGUGGUGUAGCGGUGAAAUGCUUAGAUAUCACGCAGAACUCCGAUUGCGAAGGCAGCUUACCAAGCUACCACUGACGUUGAGGCACGAAAGUGUGGGGAUCAAACAGGAUUAGAUACCCGGGUAGUC